GCAAUGUGGCUCUUCUUUUCAUUUGUUCGCGUGCCCUCGGAAUCUGUGGCAGAAGGCCCAGGGUCUGUUCUUUGAAGCCGAGUGGGUCGUCGUAAUUAGCAUAAUUUUGAACGCUAUUUUUUUUAUACUCAGCAGCAGCAGUAGAGCUAUCUCUGGCUGAAGAAAAGUUCAUCACUCGCCCGGUUCCUCAGCCACGAUUGCGACCACAGGCAUUAGUCGUAACUGAUAGUACCACCGGAAGCGCGCAGUCACUUUCAGCUUUUUGUGCAACCUAUUGAAAUAAAAGAUGACGACACAGCUACCAUCGGUGACCAGGUUUAAUAAAAGCUCUCAAUUGACAACAGCAGCAGCUGAAACAGUUCCAUCAGUACGGUUUCAUCAGUAUGGUUCCAUCAGUAUCAGCAUUGCAAAGAGCGCUGAGUUGGGUUUGAGUUCAAAUGAAAUCGAUUAUCGGAUCGGAAUCGGAGCUAACAUUCAGAAACUAACUCCGACUAAUUUGAACUUAUGCGAUUAGUUCACAUAGUUGGGCCAAACCAAGGAAUUGGCUAGCAGUGACAGCAGAACAUUGAUUGACGAAAGUAUCAGCCGGUAUGGAUUCCCGGACAGAAAAAUUGCAAACGAUAUACUGGAAUUGGUCAACGUCGAGAAGCUGGCUCGUGAUAAGUUAAAAUCCCCCUUCAAAAGAUUGUGGCUCCCGGAAGAAGAAGAGGGAAAAUGAGAUGACCAUGCCGCGCGCUUCAGUAACGAUUAUUUUUUUCAAGACAAUUGCGGUACUGCGUCUUCCGGUCACAAUAUCCAUAACGAAAACGACUGCGGACGGGAAUGCUUUCCGAAGGACUAGUUUGGGCUUUUUAAGCAUUAAAAAACAAAGUUAAACUCAAAAAGAAAUUAUCCAGAAAAGUGUUCGAAAU